CAAAUGAUCACUGACACAUUCCUGAUCAAUACUCUGAUAAAGUGAUUGAUCCAUUGAUAACCUGCAUCAUCAGAUUGAUCCAAGUCCCUGUUGGAGUCAGUCAGAGUAUUUCCAUAGAGAGACACUUUGCAUCAGCAGCACCAUCCUCCAGUGCUCUGGGAGACUUUAUAGUCCUGACACUUGAACACUGGAUGACUGACAGCUGUCCUCCAUGACAACAGAAGACACAGAAAUCCUCCUCAUCACAAACAUGACUUUCAUCUUCAUCUGGACUCUCCUCUGCUGCUGCUUCACAGAGUCCAGAGGUCAGAUCACAGUGACUCAGCCUGGAUCAGUGACUUCUGCUCUGGGAGACUCCGUCACCAUCAGAUGUUCAGUCAAUCCAAAGGUAACUGUUGGAAGUUCAAGUGGAAAAGAUCUUUUAUCCUGGUACCAACAGAGAGAUGGAAAAACUCCCAAACUGCUCAUCUACAGAGUUAAUGAACGACAAUCUGGGAUUCCAGAUCGUUUUUCAGGCAGUGGAUCACAGACAGACUUCACUCUGACCAUCAGUGGAGUUCAGGCUGAAGAUGCUGCAGUUUAUUACUGUCAGAGUUAUCACUACAUCAACAGUCAGCGUGUGUUCACACAGUGA